UACGAAGGGGGCUAGCGUUGUUCGGAUUUACUGGGCGUAAAGCGCACGUAGGCGGAUUGUUAAGUCGGGGGUGAAAUCCUGGAGCUCAACUUCAGAAUUGCCUUCGAUACUGGCUUUCUAGAGGCUGGAAGAGGUUAGUGGAAUUCCCAGUGUAGAGGUGAAAUUCGUAGAUAUUCGCAAGAACACCAGUGGCGAAGGCGGCUUACUGGUCCGGAUCUGACGCUGAGGCGCGAAAGCGUGGGGAGCAAACAGG
rnacentral:rRNA from 1 species